rnacentral:tRNA from 1 species
GGCGCGGUAGCCAAGUGGUAAGGUCGAGGUCUGCAAAACCUCUAUGCGCCGGUUCGAUUCCGGCCCGCGCCUCCA